GAGUUUGAUCAUGGCUCAGAUUGAACGCUGGCGGCAUGCCUAACACAUGCAAGUCGAACGGCAGCACUGGGAGCUUGCUCCCUGGUGGCGAGUGGCGGACGGGUGAGUAACGCGUAGGAAUCUGCCUCAUAGCGGGGGACGAACUCGGGAAACGUACGAGCUAAUACCGCAUACUACUCGAGAGAGGAAAGCAGGGGACCGUUCGGCCGUUCGCACUAUGAGAUGAGCCUGCGUUGGUA
rnacentral:rRNA from 1 species